GCUGGGUAAAGCAGGGGCUGGGCAGGUUGCAUGGUAUAGAGCUGGGUAAAGCAGGGGCUGGGGCUGGUUGCGUGUUAUAAGGCUGGGUAAUACAGGGGCUGGGGCUGGUUGCGUGGUAUAGAGCUGGGUAAAGCAGGGGCUGGUUGCAUGGUAUAGAGCUGGGUAAAGCAGGGGCUGGGGCUGGUUGCGUGGUAUAGAGCUGGGUAAAACAGGGGCUGGGGCUGGUUGUGUGUUAUAGAGCUGGGUAAUACAGGGGCUGGGGCUGGUUGCGUGUUAUAGAGCUGGGUAAUACAGGGGCUGGUUGCAUGGUAUAGAGCUGGGUAAUACAGGGGCUGGUUGUGUGGUAUAGAGCUGGGUGAAGCAGGGGCUGGUUGUGUGGUAUAGAGCUGGGUAAUACAGGGGCUGGUUGUGUGGUAUAGAGCUGGGUGAAGCAGGUGCUGGGGCUGGUUGCGUGUUAUAGAGCUGGGUGAAGCAGGGGCUGGGGCUGGUUGCAUGGUAUAGAGCUGGGUAAUACAGGGGCUGGUUGUGUGGUAUAGAGCUGGGUAAUACAGGGGCUGGUUGCGUGGUAUAGAGCUGCGUAAAGCAGGGGCUGGGGCUGGUUGCGUGGUAUAGAGCUGGGUAAUACAGGGACUGGUUGCGUGGUAUAGAGCUGCCAGGUGCUGGGGCUGGUUGCGUGUUAUAGAGCUGGGUAAAGCAGGGGCUGGGGCUGGUUGCAUGGUAUAGAGCUGGGUAAUACAGGGGCUGGUUGUGUGGUAUAGAGCUGGGUAAUACAGGGACUGGUUGCGUGGUAUAGAGCUGGGUAAUACAGGGGCUGGUUGCGUGGUAUAGAGCUGGGUAAUACAGGGGCUGGUUGCAUGGUAUAGAGCGGUGUAAUACAGGGGCUGGUUGCGUGUUAUAGAGCUGGGUAAAGCAGGGGCUGGGGCUGGUUGCGUGGUAUAGAGCUGGGUAAUACAGGGGCUGGUUGCGUGGUAUAGAGCUGUGUAAUACAGAGGCUGGUUGCGUGGUAUAGAGCUGUGUAAUACAGGGGCUGGUUGCGUGGUAUAGAGCUGGGUAAAGCAGGGGCUGGUUGUGUGGUAUAGAGCUGGGUAAUACAGGGGCUGGUUGUGUGGUAUAGAGCUGGGUAAUACAGGGGCUGGUUGUGUGGUAUAGAGCUGGGUAAUACAGGGGCUGGUUGUGUGGUAUAGAGCUGGGUAAAGCAGGGGCUAGUUGUGUGGUAUAGAGCUGGGUAAUACAGGGGCUGGGGCUGGCUGGGUAAUACAGGGGCUGGGGCAUGCGUGUUAUAGAGAUGUGUAAUACAGGGGCUGGUUGCAUGGUAUAGAGCUGGGUAAUACAGGGGCUGGUUGUGUGGUAUAGAGCUGGGUAAUACAGGGGCUGGUUGUGUGGUAUAGAGCUGGGUAAUACAGGGGCUGGUUGCGUG
ensembl:lncRNA